AUACGGAGGGUGCAAGCGUUACUCGGAAUCACUGGGCGUAAAGGAUGCGUAGGCUGGAUGUCAAAUUGGAAGUGAAAUCCUAUGGCUUAACCAUAGAACUGCUUCCAAAACUGGCAACCUAGAGUGAGGGAGAGGCAGAUGGAAUUAGUGGUGUAGGGGUAAAAUCCGUAGAUAUCACUAGGAAUACCGAUUGCGAAGGCGAUCUGCUAGAACUCUACUGACGCUAAGGCAUGAAAGCGUGGGGAGCAAACAGGAUUAGAUACCCCUGUAGUCC
rnacentral:rRNA from 1 species